GCCUGUGUGGGUUUUCUCCGGGCACUCCGGUUUCCUCCCACAUCCCAAAAACAUGCAUUAAUUGGAGACUCUAAAUUGCCUGUAGGCAUGACUGUGAGUGCGAAUGGUUGUUUGUUUCUAUGUGUCCUGCGAUUGGCUGGCAACCAGUUCAGGGUGUACCCCGCCCCCUGCCCGAUGACAGCUGGGAUAGGCUCCAGCACGCCCGCGACCCUAGUGAGGAGAAGCGGCUCAGAAAAUGGAUGGAUGGAUGGAAAUACAAAAGCAUGGUGGACGACUGGUAAGCACAUCUUUCUCACAGUUUUGACGACGCGGGUUCGAAUCCGGCCUUGCCUGUGUGGAGUUUACAUGUUUUCCCCCGGUUUCCCAAAAACAUGCAUGGGUCGCGGGCUGCUGGAACCUAUCCCAGCUAUCAUCGGGCAGGAGGCGGGGUACACCCUGAGUCAGGUCCCCUGUGAUUGACUGGCAACUGUUUAGGCAAAUGUGCAAAGCCAGUCAACAGCCUGGACGAGACUGGCGAGACACAACGAGAGAAGAUCCUGGGUGAGGCUGCGAUGAUGCGCAGCCAAUCAGCUGACGGGAUAAAUCCACUCGUGCUCUCAUUGGUCGAUGUCGCGCCAGGAACCAAUCAACCAACCUUGUAUGAUUGCCCGUGGCAUGUACAGUACAGUACAGCACAGGCAUGUACAUUGUGACAUUUAUGUUUGGUGGUGUGCUGUGAGAUUCGUCUAACGUAAAAUAUGUGCCUUGGUUCAAUAAAGUUUGGGAAACACUG